GGACAGAAAGACCCUAUGAAGCUUGACUGUAUCCUGGAAUUGGGUUCGGGCUUUUCUUGCGCAGUCUAGGUGGGAGGCUAUGAAGAUUUCCUUCCGGGGAAGUUGGAGCCAUCAGUGAGAGACCACUCUGGAGAGGCUAGAAUCCUAAUGGUGAUCCUUGAAUCAGGACACUUGACAGUUUCAGGUGGGCAGUUUUUCUGGGGCGGAAGCCUCAUAAAGGGUAACUGAGGCGCGCAAAGGUCCCCUCAGUCUGGACGGAAAUCAGACAACGAGUGUAAAGGCAAAAGGGGGCUUGACUGCAAGACCUACAAGUCGAGCAGGAGCGAAAGCUGGCCUUAGUGAUCCGACGGUACCGCGUGGAAGGGCCGUCGCUCAACGAAUAAAAGUUACUCUAGGGAUAACAGGCUGAA
rnacentral:rRNA from 1 species